rnacentral:rRNA from 1 species
AUUGAACGCUGGCGGCAUGCCUUACACAUGCAGGUCGAACGGCAGCACGGGAGCAAUCCUGGUGGCGAGUGGCGAACGGGUGAGUAAUAUAUCGGAACGUGCCCGGUCGUGGGGGAUAACGUAGCGAAAGCUACGCUAAUACCGCAUACGAUCUACGGAUGAAAGCGGGGGAUCGGCAAGACCUCGCGCGAUUGGAGCGGCCGAUAUCAGAUUAGGUAGUUGGUGAGGUAAAGGCUCACCAAGCCGACGAUCUGUAGCUGGUCUGAGAGGACGACCAGCCACACUGGGACUGAGACACGGCCCAGACUCCUACGGGAGGCCAGCAGUGGGGAAUUUUGGGACAAUGGGCGCAAGCCUGAUCCAGCAAUGCCGCGUGCAGGAUGAA